rfam:Arabidopsis thaliana chromosome 5, complete sequence.
GGAUGCGAUCAUACCAGCACUAAUGCACCUAAUCCUAUCAGAACUACGUAGCUAAGCGUGCUUUUGUGAGAGUAGUACUAGGAUAAGUGACCUCCCUGGAAGUCCUCGUCUUGCAUUGC